rnacentral:rRNA from 1 species
AUGAGUAAUCCCUACUGCAAUGUUUUGUCGUGGAAUGUUAGAGGUCUCAAUGCUCCGGCUAAGCGUACGACGAUCAUCGAGGUAGCCACUGCACACAAAGCAGCAAUUCUCACGCUGCAGGAAACAAAGAUUGAGCAAUGGACUAUUGAGAUUGCAAAGGAGGUUGGAGGAGCAAUGCUCCAGGGAUGUGUAGUGCUCCCGGCAAUUGGAACGAGAGGAGGCGCCGCUAUAUUUUGGAACAAGGACAUAGUCUCGGUCUCCUCACACGCCAUUGGCAGAUUCUCAAUCACGGCCAAGGUUACAGAGGUGGGAAGAAACGAGUAG